UGUAUUGCUUCUCCAAAGCAUUACAAGAGACUGGUUCUACCUGUUUGGAUGUGUAAAAAUCCUGCUCGAUUUGAGCAUGGUAUAUGUCAACAAUGUGUUGCUGCAGUUGUUUAUGUUGCUCAAGAAAAAUAUAUCUCGCCAGAUUUUGUGCAACUGGAUACUUCAUUUACCUUGAAGUAGUACUUUAUAAGAACUGAUUUACUUACUCCAAACUAAGUUGAAUAUUUAAAAAGUUUCAGUAUAAA